CAGAACAGAACAGAACAGAACAGAACAGAACAGAGCGAAACAGAAUUGAAAGGAGACACAUCAUUCCUGGGGCAGAUUGCAUCUCCUCCAGCUGGCUUCCAAUUUGCAGCUUGCAAGGCGUGCUUCUGAAGCUCCAUGGGAAAUAACUUCUCCCUGAGGCUCAACCUGCAGGCUGCAAUCAUGCAGCAGGAACAGCUCAGACUUCACAAGCAGCUGCUGGAGUUAAGGACUCUCUGAGACUUCAAUGUAAGCCUUGUCCCAGGCACCCACCGGACCUCUCAUAAUACAGACUUUGCUCUCUCCACA